AGCAGUCGCCGCGGGAAUACGAAGGGUCCGAGCGUUGUCCGGAAUUAUUGGGCGUAAAGGGCUCGUAGGCGGUUUGUUGCGUCGGGAGUGAAAACCCAGGGCUUAACUUUAGGCUUGCUUUCGAUACGGGCAGACUUGAGGCAUUGAGGGGAGAACGGAAUUCCUGGUGUAGCGGUGAAAUGCGCAGAUAUCAGGAGGAACACCGGUGGCGAAGGCGGUUCUCUGGCAAUGUUCUGACGCUGAGGAGCGAAAGUGUGGGGAGCGAACAGGAUUAGAUACCCGCGUAGUCCCUGUCUCUUAUAC
rnacentral:rRNA from 1 species